GACGAACGCUGGCGGCGUGCUUAAUACAUGCAAGUCGAGCGAACAGACGCGGAGCUUGCUCCUCUGACGUUAGCCGCGGACGGGUGUGUCACACGUGUAUAACCUACCUAUAAGUCUGGUAUCACUUCGGGAAACCGGCUCUAACACCGGAUAAUCUAUUGAACCGCGUGGUUCAAUAGUGAAAGUCGGUUUUGCUGUCACUUCUAGAUGGAUCUGCGCCGCUUUAGCUAGUUGUGAAGGUAACGGCUUUCCAAGGCAACGAUGCGUAGCCGACGUGAGAGACUGGUAGGCCACCUGGGAACUGGGACAGGGACAAGGCGCCUACGGGAGGCAGCAGAAGGGAAUGUUCCGCAAUAGGCGAAAGCCUGACGGAACAACGCGACGUGAGUGAUGAAGGUCUUGGGAGCGGAAAGCUCUGUUAUGAGGGAAAAACAAAUGUGGAAGGAACUGUGCACGGCGUGACGGUACCUAGUCAGAAAGCAACGGCUAACUACGUG
rnacentral:rRNA from 1 species